CCCCUGCCCGUGCUGCAGCCCUCAGCCCUGACCUCACCCUCAUGAACUGCUCUGACGUGAAGGAUCACUUGGUCAACAUGCUGCUGAAUAGUGGAAAGUGUGACGGUGGUGGCGGACAAGAUCGCUGGCCCUUUCCACCUUGGCCAUCCACCUCUACCACGAGUUGGCCCACCAAACACUCCACACCAAGGUUAACAAGGCCAUCAAUGUGCUCCAGGCAUACCUCAAGAGCCCGUCCAGCGCUGGGCCCGGCCACUGCAAGCCUUGUUGGGUCAAUGUGUGGGAAAUCAGCCAAGGUGGAGUUUGAGUCGGUCGGCCUCAACCAUGAGGGCUGUGUGAGCGGCAGGCUGGCCGUGAGCCUUCCUGGGAGUGCUGGGCGGCCUGGUGCCCCGGCUGAAGGCAAGCAGCCUCCCUGAGACACCCAAAGACUGGCUGACACAAGAUCUUGUGCUGGUACUGGUGUCUGAAGGCUGUGCAGUGGUGCGGACACAGGCUCAGAGUGCCCAGGUGGACCAAGAUGCUGGUUGCCGCCUGCCUGGGAGCAGACUCACAGAGGUCAGCGCGGGGCAGCAGGACAGCGCCCUCAGCAGUGACGAUGAGUCUCUCCAUGAAGGCUGCACAGCAGCAGGCCACCGUCGCCCGAGAGCAUCCCGAGGAACACUUCAAUGUCCAGGUGUGAGGAUGUCAAGCCACCACAAGCCAGGAGGGAAGUGGCUGCUGGGGCCAAGACAGCAGGUGAAGCAGAACCCUUAAGCCUCAGGUCUUCACCCCUGGACGAAGGAGGUGUUUCUUGGCGGCCAAACUCGGGAGACUCACCAGAAAAGACCUUGGUAGAUGAUGCAAGUUUUGCUCGCUGGAGACCACAAGAGUAUUCACCCGUGCCUCAUAUUGUGGGUGAGGAGAGCAGCCUGCACCAUCUCCCAAGAGGUAUGUUUAACAGUGAGGCAUGCACACAGGCAGGAAGCAGCACUACAGUCACCAGGAGACAUUUUACAUAAAACUGGCUACAAAAUACUGCUGCUGCUGGCCAGAAUGGAGAUCAGGUUCAGCAGGAUUCCAGCAAGGUGCUCUCUUUACUUCUUUGUGUGAUUUUGAAAACACUUCAGCAGCCAAGGGGAACGCUCAAGAGAAAGUGUCAUAUCUAUGCAAACCUUCCUGCAGGGGUGAGCUGAAAGGUGAAAAAUGUAGUUACCACGACUCCUUGGAGAAGAGAGACACCAUUAGUAGUUUGGUUGGUGAGAAAAGCUUCACCAGUCAUGCUGCUUGUACAGGGGAGAAGACUUCAGUGUUGUCCUCCAGGCCUCUUUGCAGCGGGUACUCUAGAUCAAGCAGCAGACCAAGUGUCUUGCAUGUGUGUGUGUGUGUGUGUGUGUGUGUGUGUGUGUGUGUGUGUGUGUGUGUGUGUGUGUGUGUGUGUGUGUGUGUGUGUGUGUGUGUGUGUGUGUGUGUGUGUGUGUGUGUGUGUAUUUACCUAGUUGUGAAAUACCGUACUAGGCUCGUGCUGUCCCAUCUCCAUAAUGCUUAUUAUCCAGUUUGGCUUUAAAUUCAUGAAUCGUUUUGCACACAC